UCGGCGUCUAUACAUGCAGUCGAGCGGACUUUAAAGCUUGCUUUUAAAGUUAGCGGCGGACGGGUGAGUAACACGUGGGCAACCUGCCUGUAAGACUGGGAUAACUUCGGGAAACCGGAGCUAAUACCGGAUAAUCCUUUUCCUCUCAUGAGGAAAAGCUGAAAGACGGCAUCUCGCUGUCACUUACAAAUGGGCCCGCGGCGCAUUACCUAGUUGGUGAGGUAACGGCUCACCAAGGCAACGAUGCGUAGCCAACCUGAAAGGGUGAUCGGCCACACUGGGACUGAAACACGGCCCAAACUCCUACGGGAGGCAGCAGUAGGGAAUCUUCCGCAAUGGACAAAAGUCUGACGGACCAACGCCGCGUGAGUGAUGAAGGUUUUCGGAUCGUAAAGCUCUGUUGUUAGGGAAAAACAAGUACAAAAGUAACUGCUUGUACCUUGACGGUACCUAACCAGAAAGCCACGGCUAACUACGUGCCAGCCCGGGGGGUAAAUAACAAAGGGGGGGGGGGAUAAAAAAAAAGGGGGGGUCAUAAAAUUCAGAACACCCCCGCCCCCCAAAACACAAACAAGAAAAAA
rnacentral:rRNA from 1 species